GUCCUGACUGGUGCCAUAUCAAGCAUGCCUGGUUGUAUAUAAUCAGGCAAGCCUGAUAAGGCAAUAAUCAGGAUCUUUUUGAGUAUCCCCUAAUACACAAAUUUUCAAAAAGGACAUGAGUGACAAUAAAAGAAAACGAAAGCAAGAGCUAACACGACUACAGGUGAAGCGGCACAGAAAACAUAAAGCUUAUUGUAGUACAUCUGAAAAUGGAAAUAAAUCUGACAGUUCAUCUGCUUCAAUGGCUUCUCCUGCUGCUGCUUCAAUCUCAAAUGAGCAAGAAUUCUUUAUGGACAUCGAACAAUUCAUAUGAUGAAAACACUGCAGUGAACAAUAAUAAUGAAAAUUUAAACUUAACGCAGGAUUCCAUGAACAAUAUAAAUGAUGAGAAUAUUCUCAGUGACAGUAUUGGGGACAAUGAUCAAGCUGAUUUCGAAAUGGAUGAACACAGUAACACAGAUGAAAUGGAUGAACAUAGUAACACAGAUGAAAUGGAUGAACACAGAUGAAAUAUAGAUUUAUUAGAACCCAGUAUAGAUAAUGAGGAUGAAUUCUAUGAAUAUAACGAUGAAUUUGAUGAGAUCACAGAGCUACGAACGUGGGCAUUGUCUGGAAAUCCUACUAUACCUCACACACGACUUGAUGAAUUAUUGCGUAUCCUGAGGACUCGUUUACUUCCAAAUUUACCAAAAUGUUCUAAAACUUUUUUAAAAACAGCUAGUACCAAUUAUGAUAUCCAAGUCAAUGAAGAUUCUAGCGAGUUUAUAUAUUUUAGUUUAAAAAAUAUACUGCAAAUUUCUAUUAAUCCAGAUUUCCACACAAAUAAUGUUGUCAAUUUGAAAGUCAAUAUAGAUGGUGUGCAAUUAUUCAAAUCAAGUUCAAGACAGUUUUGGCCAAUUUCUCGCGUCAAAAGGGAAGUUAUUGAAAUAAAAAACAUAUUGGACAAUUCACAGCUGCCAGGACAAAAUGCUGCUGGACAAUUGGAAUCAGACGCAGAAGAUGACAAAUUUAAAUUUCCCCUUACCACAUACGACGUUUUUACAGAUUUUGAUGAGAAACUCAAAACUGAUUAGGCCUAUAGGAGAAAAAUUAGAAAAAGAAUAAGGUCUCAAAUUAAUGUCAAACAGGAUACUUCAAAAAAUUUAGGUGAAAUCGUAAGGUUUUUCAUGAUUAGAUUAGUUGCUCUGAAACUUACAGCUGUUAAAAAGAUGAAGGACAAAGAACUAUUCAAGGAUACGCAUCUUUAUAAGGACUAUUUUUAAGUGCUCAUAAAGAAUCUAUUAACUCAAAACAAUUUCAACAACUCAUGGGCAAAGUUUUGAAUAAUGCAAAAGACUGGGACAAAUUUCGCUUUGUACGGCAACAAGAGAUGAUCAAAAA